rnacentral:ribozyme from 1 species
AAAGAAAGAAGGAAAGAAAGAAAGAAAGAAAGAGAGAGAGAGAAAGAAAGCUUUUUAUGAUCCUCAAUCAACUGUAAAAAGGUCGUUUUGGGUUAGUUUGUUUCUUUUCUUUUCUUUUGGGUUUCUCUAAAU